UGAAUACGAGACGCUAAGGCGUCGAAGUAGUGUAUGUCAUACUUCCAAGAAAAGCUUGCACUGUCAUAGAUAAAAAACGCCUGUACCAUAACCGACACAGGUGGGUAGGUAGAGUAUACUAAGGGGCGCGAGAUAACUCUCUCUAAGGAACUCGGCAAAAUAACUCCGUAACUUCGGGAGAAGGAGUGCCUUAUUAUUAAGGUUGCAAUAACAAGAUCCAAGCAACUGUUUAUCAAAAACACAGGUCUCCGCUAAGUCGUAAGACGAUGUAUGGGGGCUGACGCCUGCCCAGUGCCAGAAGGUUAAAGAAGCUGGUUAGCAUUUGCGAAGCUAGUAACUGAAGCCCUGGUGAACGGCGGCCGUAACAAUAACGGUCCUAAGGUAGCGAAAUUCCUUGUCGGGUAAGUUCCGACCCGCACGAAAGGCGUAAUGAUUUGGAUACUGUCUCGGAGAGGGGCUCGGUGAAAUAGACUUGUCUGUGAAGAUGCGGACUACCUGCACCAGGACAGAAAGACCCUAUGAAGCUUUACUGUAACUUGAAAUUGAAAUCGGACUUUAUUCGCGCAGUAUAGGUGGGAGGCGUUGAUUAUAAUCUUGUGGGAUUAUUUGAGCCAUUAGUGAGAUACCACUCUUGUAAUGUUAGAUUUCUAACUUUGAAUCAUUAUCUGGUCAAAGAACAGUUUCAGGCGGGCAGUUUGACAGGGGCGGUCGCCUCCUAGACGGUAACGGAGGCGUACAAAGGUUUCCUCUGAACGGUUAGAAAUCGUAUCUAGAGUGUAAAGGCAUAAGGAAGCUUGACUGUGAGACCUACAAGUCGAGCAGGGACGAAAGUCGGUCUUAGUGAUCUGACGGUACUGAGUGGAAAGGCCGUCACUCAACGGAUAAAAGUUACUCUAAGGAUAACAGGCUGAUCUCCCCCAAGAGUUCACAUCGACGGGGAGGUUUGGCACCUCGAUGUCGGCUCAUCGCAUCCUGGGGCGGUAGUACGUCCCAAGGGUUGGGCUGUUCGCCCAUGAAAGCGGUACGCGAGCUGGGUUCAGAACGUCGUGAGACAGUUCGGUCCAUAUCCGGUGUAGGCGUUAGAAUAUUGAGAGGAGCCUUCUUUAGUACGAGAGGACCGAGAAGGACGUACCUCUGGUGUACCAGUUAUCGUGCCAACGGUAGACGCUGGGUAGCUAUGUAUGGAGUGGAUAACCGCUGAAAGCAUCUAAGUGGGAAGCCCACCUCAAGAUAAG
rnacentral:rRNA from 1 species